UACGGGGGGGGGCAAGCGUUGUUCGGAAUUACUGGGCGUAAAGGGCGCGUAGGCGGCUCGUCAAGUCGGGCGUGAAAUCUCCGGGCUUAACCCGGAAAAGUCGUUCGAUACUGUUGAGCUAGAGUGUGGAAGGGGCUACUGGAAUUCCGUGUGUAGCGGUGGAAAUGCGUAGAUAUACGGAGGAACACCAGCGGCGAAGGCGGGUAGCUGGGCCAACACUGACGCUGAUGCGCGAAAGCCAGGGGAGCAAACGGG
rnacentral:rRNA from 1 species